rnacentral:miRNA from 1 species
GGGGCGGACUGGGAACACAUG